UACGGAGGGGGCUAGCGUUGUUCGGAAUUACUGGGCGUAAAGGGCGCGUAGGCGGUCCUGUAAGUCAGGCGUGAAAGGCCCGGGCUCAACCUGGGGACUGCGCUUGAUACUGCGGGGCUAUAAGAGUCCGGGAGAGGAUGGCGGAAUUCCCAGUGUAGAGGUGAUAUUCGUAGAUAUUGGGAAGAACACCGGUGGCGAAGGCGGCCAUCUGGUCCGGUACUGACGCUGAGGCGCGAAAGCGUGGGGAGCAAACAGG
rnacentral:rRNA from 1 species